GAAUUCGCCCUUAGAGUUUGAUCCUGGCUCAGGACUAACGUUGGCGGCGUGCCUAAUACAUGCAAGUCGAACGGUCGUGCGUUUGUAGCAAUAUGGACGUACGAUAGUGGCGAACGGGUGAGUAACACGUGGAAAACCUACCCUCGAGCGGGGGAUAACUCCGGGAAACUGGGGCUAAUACCGCAUGACAUCCCAACCUGGCAUCGGGAGGGGAUCAAAGCCGAAAGGCACUUGAGGAUGGUUCCGCGGCCUAUCAGCUAGUUGGCGGGGUAACGGCCCACCAAGGCGACGACGGGUAGCCGGCCUGAGAGGGCGAUCGGCCACAAGGGGACUGAGACACGGCCCCUACUCCUACGGGAGGCAGCAGUAGGGAAUUUUGCUCAAUGGGGGAAACCCUGAAGCAGCGACGCCGCGUGGGCGACGAAAUCCUUCGGGAUGUAAAGCCCUUUUAACCGGGACGAAAUACAUGACGGUACCGGUGGAAUAAGCCUCGGCUAACUCCGUGCCAGCAGCCGCGGUAAGACGGGGGAGGCAAGCGUUGUCCGGAAUCACUGGGUGUAAAGGGCGUGUAGGCGGGCCGGCUAGUCGGUUGUUAAAUCUCUCCGCUCAACGGAGAAGCUGCGGCCGAUACUUCCGGUCUUGAGUGCGGCAGGGGAGGAUGGAAUUCCUGGUGUAGCGGUGAAAUGCGUAGAUACCAGGAGGAACACCGGUGGCGAAGGCGGUCCUCUGGGCCUGCACUGACGCUGAGUGCGCGAAAGCUGGGGUAGCAAACAGAAUUAGAUACUCUGGUAGUCCCAGCCCUAAACGAUGG
rnacentral:rRNA from 1 species